UACGGAGGGUGCAAGCAUUGAUCGGAAUUACUGGGCGUAAAGGGCGCGCAGGCGGUCAGGAAAGUCAGAUGUGAAAUUCCGGGGCUCAACCCCGGAGCUGCAUUUGAAACUUCCUGGCUAGAGUACAGUUAGGGAAAACGGAAUUCCACGUGUAGCGGUGAAAUGCGUAGAUAUGUGGAAGAACACCGGUGGUGAAGACGGUUUUCUGGGCUGGGACUGACGCUGAGGCGCGAAAGCAAGGGGAG
rnacentral:rRNA from 1 species